rnacentral:lncRNA from 1 species
UGUCAUCAUAGUUGUAUCUACUGCUGGUGUCUUAUACUGUCAUGCUACUGUGAAGUAAUUCCGUAUUACACAUCAGGAAAGUAAGGCCAGGAAGGUGAACUUACCUGCUCUGGGCCUCCUCAUAACCAAUGAGUGGCAGAACCAAGACCGAAAGUCUGAGUUUUCAAGCUUUUUACUCAGCCCAUUAAGUGACAACCAGGAAAAAAUAAUACGUCACUUGAUCUUUCUUCCCACAGUGAAAAAAUGCACUUGCGUUCUGCCAGCCUUCUUUCAGUGAUAUGUUGGUUUCUUAAGAAUUAACAUACUAAGGAUCACAGUAUAGCAAAGGGAAUUAAUGUGGUCUCUGCUUGGUGCUUUAAUCCAAAGGCAGACUGGGAAGAAGUGGAUAUGUCCCUGAGAAGCCUGUUUCAUUUUGGAAAUAAUUCAACUUAGUUUCAGGGAAAACCUAAACUUCAUGAACAGAUUUAGAAAUGAACAAGACAACAUUUAAAUGGCAGUUGCUGCCCUGAAUCCAGAGUACCAUUAGACAACAUGAUUAUUUCCUAAUUCUUCCCCAUUUGGUACAGGAUUAUCUAUGACAAUUGAAGAAAUAAUUUGAACACAAGUCCAUUUAGGCAAAUAUACAGCAAUGGAACUAGAAAACCAUUUACUAUCCAAUUACCAUGUUUAGGCAUAUACUAAGUAUAGCUAUAGGCCCCAUCCAGCAGGGAAAUUUGCAAAAACUCUAGUCCCUUCUAAUAAGUUGUCUAUGGAUGUUAUCAUGAAGGGAAAAGGUUUGUUCUUAGGCCCAUGUCCUGAUUAAGUAAACCGGACCACACCUGUGGGGUCAAAAUAUAGAAGGAUCAAAGCACCAAGGCUAAAGACAAGUUAGUUGUGACACCUGCUAUAUAAACAGAGAGCAAUACAGUGUUGCCUUGUCAUACCAUCCUACAUGGCAUUAGUUCCAAUCCACCUCUUGAUCCCAGCCCUUGACUUCCCCAAAUUCAAUAUUCCGAUUGGUGUACCCAGGUCACUAUUGGAUCCAGCUUUCUGGGUCCUUUAAUUUGCUGUAUAUGCACUCUACACUAAACGUAAUUAAUUGCAAAAAAAAAUAAUCUCUUCAAGAAACCUUCAUAACAAAAUACCAGAUUCCCUUUUAACAAGAAAAGGGGAUCAAGCUUAACGCCAAAAUAGAAGACAAGACGUCUGUCAGAACAUACAGAUGGCACAAGACAGCUCUGACCUCAGGCCCCGUGCUGAACAAGAGUCACUGGCAAAACCACAAGGAGUAAGAACUGUAAAUAUCCACAGUCAUGUGGAAAACAAAAGUGUUUCCCAUUUAGUCAUCCUCUGAGCUCUCAGCAGACCUUUCAUCUGUAGCUACUUUCCAAUUUGUGCGUUUGUUUGUCCUCUCCUGUAUUUCAUUGUUGGCUACAGAGGUAUGGGCUUUUUUCUCUCUCUUUUUCCUUUUGGUUUUCUUAGUGUCUCUUUCCUCACUUUCCUCAGAACUGCUGGAUGCUGAAUCAUCUGAAUGUGAAGUGUUACUUUCUGCCUCUAAGAAUAAAGCAGGUUUUUUGAGAGACUUUUUCCUGGAUUUUUUCUUGCGUUUAUGUGGUUGUUUCCCUUUCCUUGUACCAGAAGCCCCAGUUUCUUCUGAGAACUCACUCGAGGAAUCUGCUGUUAUAUCUGUGGCUUCCUUUUUGCUUUUCUUCUGUUUUUUGUGUGACCUUUUUUUCUGCUUUUUUUUGUGGGAUUUCUUUGACUUCUUGUGUUUGCGGGAUUCAUGGGUAGAUGACUUUACCUGGGGAGAUGUUUUCUUCCCGUUGGUAAUAUCUUGCUGAUCACUGUCUGUUUCAAAUUCUUCAGGGUAUAACUCUUUAUAACCACUGUGACCCCAUCUGUCUGGCAUGUUUGCUUCAUAAUCAUAGAACUUUUUAUUCCAGGAUUUAGCCUUAAGAAAAUCAUCUUCC